UCGGAAACCUUGCACGAGAAAGAAAACAACUAUUGUAUUCGAAAAUAUGAGAGAGCGUAAGUAACAGUACACGAGCUCGGGCCCUAUUUAUAGAUUUACAAACGGAGGGGUAGAAUAGUAAAAACAUCUGCGGUGCAUGCGUCUUGCGUGAUGGAAGGGUACGCUGGUAAUUUCGAUAAUAUGCGGGAGAUCUUCCCGCGCGUUUGUUGGCUCCUCUGAUGGAAAUGUCUUUUCUGGCGAAGGCGUCUUCUCUGGUGAUGUUGACAUCUCUGGCGGAGGUGACUCUUCUGGUAAACACGUCUUCUCUGGCAAGGGCGUCUCCUCUGGCGGUAGUGACUUCUCUGGCACGGAUAUACUUUCUUUGAUGGCAACGACUUCUCUGGUAUUGACGACUUUUCUGACUAGGAUGCUUCCUCUGGUGAAGACGACUUCUCUGACGUGGAUGACUUCUCUGGCGUAGAGGACUUCUCUGACGAUGGCGACUUCUCUGGCAUAUUUGACCCGCCAGUGGGGUCGAUUCCUCUGAUUUGUAUUCUUUUCCUACUCUGCACAUAUUACUCCUCAUCAAAGGGGUUGAACUAGGAUCAUAUAAAGAUAUAGGACAAAUAUGGGAUAAAUAGGCUAGCAAAGAUGGCCUUCUAUCAUCUCAAAGUUAUUAAGCACACUAUGUGACCUCGAGGGAGAAACCAAGACAAGUUCUAGUGAGACACAAGCAUACUCAAACAAUCACUCAAGAAUAAGAAAUAAGACUGUAAAAAUAAUGACAGUCAAGGCUCAAAACUCACAGCUUAUUUCAUUGAUUGCAACCACAUAGAGACCAUGCUUAUCAUUCAUCAUUCAUGCUCAAUCACAACAAUAUAAACACAAACGCAUGCAAUUUCACAAGUUUUAAACAGAAAUCGUCAUGAACCAGUUAUCCACAAAACUCUACACUACUCACAUCAUCAUCAAGGUAACAUCACGAAGAAACCACCAAAGCAAGACUAAGAAAACUCAACGACGACACAAACAAAGACAACCAAAAAGAAAAGUAGACACCCACAAAGACACAUCCCCUCAAACUUAUUCACCACCAAGGAGAAUAAGUUUGAAAAGGAUUUGUGGGGCACGAGAAUAAACAAACAAACAAAAAGGAACUAACUAACCAGAAAUUGGGUUGCCUCCCAAUAAGCGCUAUUUUU
rnacentral:lncRNA from 1 species